rnacentral:rRNA from 1 species
GCACAAGCGGUGGAGCAUGUGGUUUAAUUCGACGCAACGCGAAGAACCUUACCAGGGCUUGACAUCCCCUGACCGCGUAUGAAAGUACGAAUUCACCUUCGGGUGACAGGGAGACAGGUGGUGCAUGGUUGUCGUCAGCUCGUGCCGUGAGAUGUUGGGUUAAGUCCCGCAACGAGCGCAACCCUCGCCUCUAGUUGCCAGCAUUCGGUUGGGCACUCUAGAGGGACUGCCGGCGACAAGUCGGAGGAAGUGGGGAUGACGUCAAAUCAUCAUGCCCCUUAUGACCUGGGCUACACACGUGCUACAAUGGGCGGUACAAAGGGCUGCGAACCCGCGAGGGGGAGCGAAUCCCAAAAAGCCGCUCUCAGUUCGGAUUGCAGGCUGCAACUCGCCUGCAUGAAGCCGGAAUCGCUAGUAAUCGCGGAUCAGCAUGCCGCGGUGAAUACGUUCCCGGGCCUU